rnacentral:antisense_RNA from 1 species
UAUUUUCCUUCUGUUUUCACCCAUUCGGGCACAAUCUGGCGCCAUCGUCCUUCUUGUGAGGCCAAGCCUGAAAAUGCGAAGCAGAGAGGCAGGACCAAAAUUGAGGCGAAUCCGGGAACCUGCCAAUGGGUCUCCGGGUGCGGUCUCUGAAACUGGAGGAUAUCGGGAGGAAAGGCUCUCCGAUGCGGAGAUAAUGGGGAAGCUCUUGGCAUGGUUGGCUGUAGGUAUGUGAUACCGGAGGAGCAGGAGUCAAAUAGGAUACGCCGACUUUUAAUUCAAGGAACCCUUUUCUGAAACACUUUGCCACAAUGAAGGAAAUAAGAUUACAGCCGAAGAUACAUAUUAAGGAAUAAAAUUGAAGGGUGUUUUUCUUAGAGAACAUCAUUUGUCAUAUUUAUUUGAUCAAGAAGUUGAAGAUUUAUGUAAUAAGGUAUGGGACACAUUUAUCUUGAUAAAAGAACACAGAAAAGGUCAGGUAUGAGCAGAAAAUUGACAUUUAUUUCAGCCUAAUGUGGAUACUGUACUCUGAAUUAAAAAUUUCUUUUCCUUACUCUUCCAGCUUUUAAAGAUAAGUAUUAUUUCAAAAUAGUAUUUUUUUUAAUUAAUAGAUUCAAUUCAGGAAAGGCAUUGGAGGGGGUGGAGCUUUUAACUUUGACAGUCUCACUCUGUUGCCCAGGCUGGAGUGCAGCGGCGCAAUCUCUGCUCACUGCAAUCUCUGCCUCCUGGGUUCAAAUAGUUAUUGUGGCCCAGCUUCCCAAGUGGCUGGGAUUAGAGGCGCAUGCCACCACACCCAGCUAAUUUUUUUUAUUAAGUAGAGACCAUGUUUUGCCAUGUUGGCCAGACUGGUCUCAAACUUCCAGCCACCAACCUCAGCCUCCCAAAGUGCUGGGAUUAUAGUCAUAAGCCACCACACCUGGCUGUUGGUUAUCUUUUCUUAGAAAUAAUGAUAUAAUCUUUUCAGCACCUGAUAUUCUUAAAGAUCCAGGGUUUACAAAUGACUGUUAGAUAUGCCAAGGAUGACUAGCCUAUAACUUAAGGAACUGUUCAGGAACAGUAGAAAAGAAGGUGAUAGGAAACUGGGAAUCUUAAAUCUAAUACUAGUUCUGUCAUGAAUUAGGCUUGUUAUUGUAGUUGUUUCUCAAAUUUAAGAAAAUAUGAGGGGUCUUGAAAAAGUGCAUGGAAAAUGCAUAUCAUGAAAUAACUAUGCAUGGAUUUCAAAAUUUUUGGACCAAAAUAAACUCCUACUAACUUGUUAUAACAUGUCUGAACAGGAUCUAGUUUGAAGCACUAAGAAGAAUAAGACAUCAGUUUGAAAAGAGGCUCUAUCAGAAUAACACGAAUUCUGCUAAAAUUGAAGCAAGAACAAACAUCAAAUAUAUGUUGACACUUGGGUGGAAGAAUGGUGAACUAAUUGAUGCUUUAUGAAAAGUCGAUAGGGACAAUGCUCCAAAGAAAUCAGUUUACAAAUGGAUAACUCGUUUUAAGAAGGCAUAAGGUAAUGUUGAAGAAGAAGCCCACAGUGGCAGAUCAUCCACAUCAGUUUGUGAGAAAAAAGUUAGUUCAUGGCGUAAUUGAAGAAAACCAACAAUUAACAGCAGAAACAACAGCCAACACCAUAGACAUCUCAGUUGGUUCACCUUACACAAUUUUGACUGGAAAAGUUCAGCAAACUUUAUACCUGAUAGGUACCAAAACCAUUGCACCCAGAUCAGCUACAGACAAGAAUAGAGCUUUCAAUGGAAAUUUUAAAUAAGUGGGAUCAGGAUCUUGAAGCCUUUCAUUGAAAAAUUGUAACAGGAGAUGAAACAUUGUCUUCAGCGCAAUCCUGAAGACAAAACACAAAGCAGUGGUUACCAAGAUAAGUAGUUCAGUUAAAGCACAAGAGGACUGGUUGAGAGCAAAGGUCAUGACAACAGCUUUUGAAUGCUCAAGGCAUUUUGCUUGUUGACUUUCUGUAGGGCCAAAGAAUGGUAACGUGCUUAUCAUGGGAGUGUUUUGAGAAACUUAGUCAAAGCUUCAGCAGAAAAAUCCCCGAGAAAGACCAGAGAGUUCUUCACCACAACAAUGUUCCUGCUAAUCCCUCUCAUCAAACAAGGGCAUUUUGCAAGAGUUUUGAUGGGAAAUCACUAGGCAUCCACCCUACAGUCCUGGUUUGGCACCUUCUGACUUUUUGUUUCCUAAUCUUAAAAAAAUUUUUAAGGGCAGUACAUUUUUCUCAAGUUAAUGUAUAAAGAAACUGCAUUGAUGUAGAUAAAUUCCCAGAACUCUCAGUUCUUUAGGGAUGGACUAAAUAGCUGGUAUCAUCACUUACAAAAGUGUCUUGAAUGCUAUAGAGCUAAUGUUCAGAAAUAUAGUUUAUAUUUUUUAUCUUUUAACCAUUUUUCCACAAACUUUUUGAAGUCUCCUUGAAUAUGUACCAUUUAUAAAGGGGAAAAAUUCUGUGACUACUCAUGUUGACUUAAUGCUGACUUAAUUUUCUGUUUUGUAAAUAUAUACAAACAAGUUGAUACAAAUUUUGUUUAUAGCCCUUAAACAAAUUUGUGAAAUAAAUGCAUUCAGAAACAAACUAAAA